rnacentral:lncRNA from 1 species
UAAUUCAGGACGUGUCCAGCUGGAAUUCAGCUGGGUCUCAGAAGAUACCUCAAAGGCAGUCAGCUUUGCAAAACCAGAUCACCAAGGAUUCCCAACCUGCCACCUGGAGAGCAAGGUCCGGUCCUGGUAGCAAAAGGGCGGAGCACCUUGCCCAUCUGCCAUUUUGAUCUGAAAGACUCGGACUACAUAAGUGGCCAUCAGCGCAACCCAGAGCUCCGAGGGUCCAGUGGGGGAGCUCUGGAUCCAAACACCCGGGUGAUUGAGUUCACCACUGUGGGCAUAGGAGGGAAGAAUCUCCGGACCUUUACCAUCCUAAACCCAACCAAUAGCACCUACUCCUUCUGCUGGAUCUCUGAAGAAAUUGAAAGUCUCCAGAACCCUGCAGCAUUCACAUGCCUUACAGAAAAGGGCUUCAUCCACCCUGAAAAGAAAGCCGAGAUCGUGUUCCAGUUCACACCUUUCCAUCUGGGCAUCACUGAGUCAUCAUGGACCUUCCUAAUUCCCGAGCACAACAUCACAGUCCCUUUCCUGCUGGUAGGCAAAACUACCGAACCUCUCAUCUCUCUGAACAAGUCACACCUCAACUUCAGCU